rnacentral:rRNA from 1 species
GACGAACGCUGGCGGCGUGCUUAACACAUGCAAGUCGAACGGAAAGGCCCUGCUUUUGUGGGGUGCUCGAGUGGCGAACGGGUGAGUAACACGUGUGUAUCCUGCCCUUCACUUUGGGAUAACUUCAGGAAACUGGGGCUACUACCGGAUAGGAGCUCCUGCUGCAUGGUGGGGGUUGGAAAGUUUCGGCGGUUGGGGAUGGACUCGCGGCUUAUCAGCUUGUUGGUGGGGGAGUGGCUUACCAAGGCUUUGACGGGUAGCCGGCCUGAGAGGGUGGCCGGCGACAUUGGGCCUGCGAUACGGCCCAGACUAGUAUGGGAGGCAGCAGUGGGGAAUAUUGUACAAUGGGAGGGAGCCUGAUGCAGCAACGCCGCGUGCGGGAUGACGGCCUUCGGGUUGUAAACCGCUGCCGCUUGUGACGAAGCGUGAGUGACGGUAAUGGGUAAAGAAGCACCGGCUAACUACGUG